AUACGUAGGGGGCGAGCGUUAUCCGGAUUUAUUGGGCGUAAAGCGUGUGUAGACGGUUUGUUAAGUUUAAGAUUAAAGCCCGAGGCUUAACCUCGGUUCGUCUUAAAAACUGGCAGACUUGAGGGCAGUAGCGGCAAGUGGAAUUUCUAGUGUAGCGGUUAAAUGCGUAGAUAUUAGAAGGAAAACCAGUGGCGAAGGCGGUUUGCUGGGCUGUUACCGACGCUGAGACACGAAAGCGUGGGGAGCAAAUAGGAUUAGAUACCCCAGUAGGCCACGCCGUAAACGAUGAGUACUAAGUGUCGGGUAACCGGUGCUGAAGUUAACACAUUAAGUACUCCGCCUGAGUAGUACGGUCGCAAGGCUGAAACUCAAAUGAAUUGGCGGGG
rnacentral:rRNA from 1 species